CCUGUUGUUGGCGGGCGGACGGNNNUGAGUGAACAGCGUGGGUUAACCUGCCUGUAAGACUGGGAUAACUCCGGGAAACCGCGGUGCUAAUACCGCGAUCGCUUCGUAUUGUAACGCGGCAGNNGUGUCAAACAUAAUACGUGGCUUCCGCUACCACUUACAGAUGGACCCGCGGCGCAUUAGGUAGUUGGUGAGGUAACGGCUCACCACGGCAACGAUGCGUAGCNNACCUGAGAGGGUGAUCGNNCACACUGGGACUGAGACCCGACCCAUACUCCUACCGGAGGCAGCUGUAAGGAAUCUUCCGCAAUGGACCAAAGUCUGACCGAGCGCCUCCGCGUGAAUGAUGAUGGUUUUCGGAUCCUAUUUCUCUGUUGUUAAGGAAGAACUAGUACCGUUCCAAUAGGGCUGUACCUUGACAGUACCUAACCACAAAGCCACUGCUAACUACCUGCCACCAGCCUCGGUAAUACGUAUGUGUCAAUCGUUGUCCGGAAUUAUUGGGCGUAAAGGGCUCGCAGGCUGUUUCUUAAGUCUGAUGUCAAAGCCCCCGGCUCAACCUGGGAGGGUCAUUGGAAACUGGGGAACUUGAGUGCGGAAAAGGAAAGUGUAAUUCCACAUGUAGCUGUGAAAUGCGUAGAGAUGUGGAGGAACACCAAUGGCGAUGGCUACUCUCUGAUCUGUAACUGACGCUGAGGACCUAGAGCGUGGGGGAGCGAUACAAGAUUAUAUACCCUGGUACUCCACGCCAUACACGAUGAGUGCUAAGUGUUAGNUGGUUUCCGCCCCUUAGUGCUGCAGCUUAACGCAAUAAUCACUCCGCCUGGGGAGUGCGGUCGCAAGAGAGAAACUCAAAGGAAUAGAGGGGGGCCCGCACAAGCGGGGGAGCAUGGGGUUUAAUUAGAAACAACGAAAAAAACCUUCCCAGGUUUUCACAUCCUGAGACAUUCCUAGAGAGAGGAGGUCCCUUUCGGGGGCAGAGACACAGGUGGCGCAGGGUUGUUGUCAUCUUGUGUUGUGAGAUGUGGGUUUAAGUCCCACAACGAGCGCAACCCUUCAUUUUUUUUCCCAGCAUUCAGUUGGGCACUCUAAGGUGACCGCCGGUGACAAACCGGAGGAAGGUGGGGAUGACGUCAAAUCAUCAUGGCCCUUAUGGCCUGGGCUACACACGUGCUACAAUGGACAGAACAAAGGGCAGCGAAACCGCGAGGUUAAGCCAAUCCCACAAAUCUGUUUUCAGUUCGGAUCGCAGUCUGCAACUCGACUGCGUGAAGUUGGAAUCGCUUGUAAUCGCGGAUCAGCAUGCCGCGGUGAAUACGUUCCCGGGCCUUGUACCACACCNCCGUCACCCCAAGAGAGUUUGUAACCCCCGAAGUCGGUUGAGGUAACCUUUUAGGAGGCCCGCCGCCCACGGUGUGGACAGAUGAC
rnacentral:rRNA from 1 species